GAUGAACGCUGGCGGCGUGCCUAAUACAUGCAAGUCGAACGCAUUGUGGUUGAAAUGAUAUGAAGAACUUGUUCAGAUUUGAUUUUCAACAUUGCAAUGAGUGGCGAACGGGUGAGUAACACGUGGGAAACCUACCUCUUAGCAGGGGAUAACAUUUGGAAACAAAUGCUAAUACCGUAUAAUAAUUAAAACCGCAUGGUUUAGUUUAAAAGAUGGUCUUGCUAUCACUAAGAGAUGGUCCCGCGGUGUAUUAGUUAGUUGGUGAGGUAAUGGCUCACCAAGGACAAUGAUACAUAGCCGAGUUGAGAGACUGACCGGCCACAAUGGGACUGAGACACGGCCCAUACUCCUACGGGAGGCAGCAGUAGGAAGUCUUCCACAAUGGACGAAAGUCUGAU
rnacentral:rRNA from 1 species